rnacentral:ribozyme from 1 species
GCCAGGUUGUUCUGUGAAAGGGUUGGAUCCGACGCCUCUAGAAGGCUACUAUAGGCUGUCCUUCUCAACUCCUACUCAAUACGUCCACGACGUGCAGAACGGUAACUUGU